rnacentral:rRNA from 1 species
UUGACCUCGAAUCAGGUAGGGAUACCCGCUGAACUUAAGCAUAUCAAUAAG